AUUGAACGCUGGCGGCAGGCCUAACACAUGCAAGUCGAACGGUAACAGGAAGCAGCUUGCUGCUUUGCUGACGAGUGGCGGACGGGUGAGUAAUGUCUGGGAAACUGCCCGAUGGAGGGGGAUAACUACUGGAAACGGUAGCUAAUACCGCAUAACGUCGCAAGACCAAAGAGGGGGACCUUAGGGCCUCUUGCCAUCGGAUGUGCCCAGAUGGGAUUAGCUAGUAGGUGGGGUAACGGCUCACCUAGGCGACGAUCCCUAGCUGGUCUGAGAGGAUGACCAGCCACACUGGAACUGAGACACGGUCCAGACUCCUACGGGAGGCAGCAGUGGGGAAUAUUGCACAAGGGGCGCAAGCCUGAUGCAGCCAUGCCGCGUGUAUGAAGAAGGCCUUCGGGUUGUAAAGUACUUUCAGCGGGGAGGAAGGGAGUAAAGUUAAUACCUUUGCUCAUUGACGUUACCCGCAGAAGAAGCACCGGCGAACUCCGU
rnacentral:rRNA from 1 species